rnacentral:lncRNA from 1 species
CAGAGAGAAUAGAAACCUGAAUGCUGUACUGGCUGUGCAGGGCAGAGUCCCGGGCUGAAAUUGCAGACUGGUGCAUGUCCUCCAUGCAGGCUCUUAUGACCGAGCGGUAGUUCUUACUCACUUGGACUAAUUGCGCGUUCCUCGCCCUCGCGGCUCGCUCCUCCUCGCAGCGCUGCAGCCCAACGAAGAUGCCGUGUGAUUCGUUGAAGAGCUUCCGCAGCGUCUCCAUGUAGAUGUCCUGAUCCCUGCGGACCACGAAGACGCGGGAGGGGCCCGGCGCUCCGUCCCCGCCGCCCGCAACGCCGCACCCCGUCGGGGCCGGACCCGCGCUGCCUCCCGGCGCCCCGCGGCGCUCCCCACCUCUCCGGCCGAAGAGCGUCUCGCACAGCAGCAUCUCGGCGGGGCCCCACUCGAAGCACAGCUGCGUCCGGGCCGGGUCGGCGCCCGGCACCACCGUCAGCGGCGGCUCCGUGUCGGGCUCCUCCAUGGCCGCGUCGCUCUCCCGCCCGAGCUGAGGCCCCGCGAGGCUGCCCGCUCUCCUGCCUGCUGCCACCCGCGGAGCUCCGCAGCGUUUCCCCUCGUCCGGCGGCCGGCAGUCCGGCAGCCAGCCGCCUCCGUCCUCCUCCCCUUCUUCCCCUCAGCACCGCUGAGGCUCCGCGACUUUGGGGCAGGCGCGGCCGUUCGCCCCGGAAACAGUGCCGGCACUGAAGGCCCCGGCGGGGCGGGAGGGGGGAGGCCGGGCCAGGCCAGGCCGCUCUAAUCCCGGAGCUGGGGCGGGGGAGCGUGGUGGGGAAGCAGUAGGAGCAGAGCCGUGUCCGCCUGCCUCGCCGUGCUUGCUCUCUAACCAUCGGUCUCUUUACGCACUUCAGGCGCUCGCAGGUAGUUGAGCCUCCAGAACACAUUAUGUGGAGCUGCGGCUCUCGGGCCGAUGGAACUCUGUGCUUUGUGCCUCGCUGGGCUCCUGCGGGCUCGAGGGUAGCUCUUACUGAAGGGUUAGGUUGAGCACAGCGGGCCGGGAACAGCGUGGAAAACCGCUGUCCCCACGUUGCCCCUUCCGUGCUGUCCUUCCUGCCUGCAGGCACCUCGCUUUGGUCCCCGUUCCUGUCGGUAACAAACUCGUCCAGUGGCACUCUCGGUAAGAAAAAUGGCAGUGCUGUCUUGCUGAAUUCUUAACCAGAAAAAGCCAAUCCCUCUCUUGCUGGUGCUUUCUGGAACAGAAUCCUGCAUUCACAGAAUGGGAUGGGUUGGAAGGGGCCUCCUUCCAGCUCCAACCCCCCUGCUGUGCGUAGGGUUAACCUUCCAAUAUUGGUUAUGUCAUUUGCUGGCCUCGUAAGAAGAAUGCUGCAGCACUUUGCUGCUAAAUUUCCUCCUUAUUGGCUACUGCAUCCAUCAUUUUCUACACAAAUAAAGCUAGUGCUUUUCCUUACUAAGAGCGUGGUUUUCUCACUGAUCUACAGAGAACAGGAGAGGUGUCUGUCAGGCAGGAGGGAUGGUUUCUGCAGGGUGGGAGAAUUUGAAAUAAAUCUUCAGAAACCUGCUUUAGAAACACACCUGUUUGAAGAGAGCUCAUCUUUUGUGGUGGGCAGGAGUGCUGUAUUUGGGAAUGUGGAUGCAAUUGAAUCUCUUUCACAGAAUCACAUUCUUCUGCUAUCUCAGAAGGUGGUGCUACCAUGUGGUCAAGUCUGGAGGAUAUUAAUGCUGAUCUGAAAUAUUCUUCAGCCCUAAAACUGCUCUAGAUGUAAGCCAAACCUGGAUGUUUUAAAACCCAGCAGUGAGAACUCUGUUACCCUCAUUCUCUGAGGGCAAGGUGACACUUUUGUAAUUUCUUGUCUUUUUUAGGGGACUUCUUAUGGAUUACAUUAUCAGUGCACUGAGGGAAAAUGCGGAGCCUGCUGUUUGUGUGGGUAUUAGAAGUAAAAGGUAUUAAUAAGCUAAUGCAGAGCUUCCAUAGAGUUGGCUAACUCUUUUAAUGCGAAUCUGAGACUUGCUGUCAAGUGAGAUCCUUGUUAGAAGGAUGGGAGUUGCUACUGUUUUCCCAGUAGCAAAGCAAAGGAGUUCUCUCUUUGUGAGUUCAUAUGAGUGUCACGUGUGACAGCAGAACUUGCCACCUGGGGCCUUCCUAGGACACUUGGGUCCUGGACCAUCACUGCAUUCUUCCAAGUGACUGUCUUGUGCAUUUCUCUUGCUUUCUUUUGCCAAACCUAAUGCUUCUUUCUGUGAACCACUGUGUGGGGAACCACAACCCUUCCCACAGGGAGGGGGAGUCAAAAGGCAGGUGGUGGUCAGCCUUUACCAACUCUAUUGCGAGGCCUAAGCCCUGGGGAAUGCCCAUUAGUCUCGCUGGUCUUAUUUUUCUUUUCUUCAUUGUGGAGAAGGCUGUUCUGAUGUCUGAGGUGAGGAUAUAGAAGUGGGACAGUGUUCUGUCUCAGGAUCCCAUCCAGUGCAAAGACAAACUAAAAACUGAUCCAGAAGAUAAAGCUCUUUGACCCUUUCCUGCUCUGUGCUGGCAGAUACAGUCCCCUUCACUCACUAAAUUAAAAUGCCAGUUGCUUUUCAUGUCUGCAGCUUCUGAUGCUCUUGAAAGUGGGUUUUGCCUAGGGAAAUUACCUUGGCAAAGGUGAAGUUUAGUUUGAAACCUUAGUCCUUCUUGGAAGGUUGGCUGGAGGUCUGCAUGUAUCUAGAAGGGAGAUGUGCCUGCACUCUUGCUCAGAAAGGCUCUUGUGCCUGUCCAGUCUGUUUAAUUAAAUUGAAUUGGCAAUCAGAAUGUCAGCAUGGAAGUACAAAUUGUUCAGAAAGAUUUCAGAGUUCAGGUUCUGGGUUCAGCCACUGAAGGCAAAGGCCAAAAGGGAAUGCUACGGUUUUCUGGGGGUGGGGGAAAGCAGCAAAACUUCAAGGUCUAAUGAGGAAGAGAGUAAAAAGUUACAAAAUAGAAAGUUUGAAAAUAAUUUCAUAGCUUGGGAAAAGGCGAGAAAGAUGAGUAUCAUGAAAGGGGAGGCAUGGGACAGGCAGUCAUCCAGGCAAUAUUUUUCUGCUCCCGGUGCUACACUAGUAUUAAUGAAGAGCAAAAUCUGAAUAAGCUACUCACCCCUUCAGAGUUCAGGCUGAGAAGGUGGUAUAGGCUGAUCUGUUCAGUAAUAAGGAUCCAGUAUAUUAGUUUAAGGGCCAAUAUAUGAGUUUAGCAAAAGGAAUCAAUGAGUGCUAAUUCUAAAACUUUCAACUUUGCUUGGUGUGUGGUCAGCCUUCUUUUCUCUUAAUUCUGCUUAUAAGAAGCACUGGAGUUAUAAUAGACUACUUGUCUUUGCAUUUUACCAGGUGUAAGGAUGUUCUCCUUGGAUUUUCACAUGUAUUGUUUUGGAAGUUGCUCAUUAUGGCCCAACAAGCAAUGGAAUUUUGCCAGGUUGGGGAGAAACAGCUAAAGGUCAGCCAAAAGUCUCUGUGAUGAAGCUAAUGGGGGAAAAAUGGGGAUAAAGUAAGUGGGUGUACGACUACUAACUGCAACUGUGCAUGCACAAAGGAACAUUAACAUAUAUUAAUAAAAUGUAUUAAUGAGUUCUUGGAAAAGAAUGAAAUGUAUGUCUUAACUGUUUAAAUGUAGAACCUCAACUCUGAGAGAGUGUGCGUUUGUUGUCAGCCGGUAAGUACUGCAAGGAAUAAAGGAGCUGCUUUCUAACACUACAUUGGAGUCAGAGUGUUUUCUUCCUGGAUUUCAAGUGACAAUUUGGAUGACAAAGGCAACCUUAGCCAUACUCUCUUGCUUAUAGCUCUAGUAACUAUUGUCUUGCCAUUUUUGCAUUGAAGUAAUUGUAAAGCAAUAAAGUUUGGAAGGGUCUGGAGUUGCUUUCCUAGGCUUGUGCUUACUAAUGUAUACUGGCACAUACAUUGCCUUCAGCUGUCUUAUCUUAAAAAUCUUAAUCUCUUGAAAUCUUGGUGUGAAAGGGAACAUAGGUCGAAUGCCUGGUGUUCCCUGCCCUCUUCAGAAAAGUGCGGAGAAUUAAGCACAAGUGCUCUCCAAGAUCUAGAUAAGUCAGAUUUCUUCUUUAUAAAACUACUGUACAUGAAUAAAACAAGGCACAGAAAUAUUUGAGAAAUGUGGGAUUUUUUUCCCCCUGAGAUGGAAUUUCUAUGGAAUUUUAACUGUGACACUUCCCCAUUCAUAUCUCUUCAACUCUGUUCGUUAAAAAGGGGGAGCUCAGAGAGAAAUAAAGCUUUGCCUUUGCCACUCUCUGCUGUAGCUUGGACUCUGCAGGACUGGGUCUUUUGUAGUUCCCAGUGUGGCAUCUCCCCCACCGCGUGCUGUUGUGUAGCCAGUUAUCUUUGCAAUUUUAGCACUCUGUUUAUUGUUAGCUCAACUGGAUCUCCUGCAUAAUAUGAGUUUCCUCUCCUUCUGCAAGAAGAAAAGCCAUAUAAAUACAGGGGGUGUAGAAACCUCCGUGAUUAGAGAAUUGGUAAUUGGUGACAAGACCAAUGGUGCUACAGCUUAAACAUUUUUCAGCUUUUCUGAGCAGAUACAGCUUCUGCAGCAGUAGAGAAAUCCCAUAUGAAGACAAACAAGACCAUCAACCAACAUCAGUCUUGUGACACAGCAGUCACUCCUCUGUGAUGUUGCCUUUCUAUAAAUAGAAUUUAAGAUCCUUGUCUUUUGUUCUGCAUUAUACCCAGUAUGGUUUGAGUCUUGCUUAAAAAAAGCAGUCUACACUGUCUGAGGUAUAAGAAUAGAGUAGGUUUUAAGAUGCUCAUUUUACUUGUUCUCACUCCUGAUCCUGCUUCUUAGUUGUGGAGAGAAAGAUAAGAAGUAGGUAGCAGUUUAAAUGUGUUGCUCGUUGCUUUUCAAGGUUGAAACAGGAGGUGAAGCAGGAUGGUAGCAUGCUGCCAAACUACACGAAGGGUAUUUCUCCAGACACAGGAACUUCUUGCCUUCCAGUUGCUUAAAUAAAUAUAACAGUAAUACCACAAGUAGUGAAACAGGCAGGAUAGACUGACAGGAACAGUAAAGAUGGUAAAUCAAGGGAAGUGACACAGGUAGGAGGGGAAAGUACAGCUCAAAGAAAAGUUGGUUUGAGUCAGUGACAAUUUAAAACAGCAUUUUGGUUGCCACCUGGGGUAAGAACUUCCAGCACCUCUGGUAUUCUCCAGAACUGAAUUACAGACUUCAGAAAAAAUUACUGAAAAGUUCUAUGCAACUGUAGCUGUGACAUGCUUUCAGCAUACAGAAGCAGAGAGAACACUUUGCAACUUGUGGGGCCCUGGUCCACCCCUUUAUGGGAGCUUCACAGCUGUGCCACCAUCACUACCAUCUCAGGUAGGGGUGCAGCUGUGUUAUUUUUCCAACUGUGGACUCGGGUGAAUGUUUGGCUUCCAGCUCCCCACAGGUAUCACUCUUCCAUUUUCAGGCAACUGCAGUAAAACGCAACACCUCCUGCGUGUCUGCCCUCCAAAGGGAGGCACUGGGAUGUGCCAAAAGGCAGAGAGGCAGAGCUGAAUCUGCAGGGAAAACAAUCUGAAGCCUUUGCUCAGUAAGUUCAUUUUCUGUUCAGUUGAUAUUUCACUGCUUCAGUUGCUUAUUCUGGACAAAUCCCACCCCUCUGGAACAGUGCAGGCCUGGAUUCCCUGCAGGGAACAGCCCAGCCAACCCGCACCGCAGGCCUUCGUGAGGGCUGUUUGGUGGCUCUAUUCCACAUGUGCUGUGGCAGAACUGUUGGCAAAUGAUGGUGACAGAUGCUAGGUUGGUACCAGAAGGCAGGGGAGCUUCCUGGAGGCAGCCUGCACGGUCAGAGAUGAAGUGCUGUGCAAUGCCUGGAGUUACUGUACCACUGAAGUCAUUACAGUAAAACACGAGAGGAGACACUAUUAUUUUUUGAAAUGUUGCUUCACACGCUCAGACUUCUGAAGAAGAUAAUAAUUAAACCUUGACUGCAGUUGCUUUACCUAUGACAAAUUUUUCUCCUUUUGUGUUGGGAGCGCUGGCCUCACAGGUCAGAGACCGUGC